CUCUUUUCGCUGUCAGACAUGGGUACACCGCAGAAGGAUGUCAUUAUCAAGUCAGAUGCACCUGACACCCUAUUCCUGGAGAAGCAUGCAGAUUAUAUUGCAUCCUAUGGCUCAAAGAAAGAUGAUUACGAAUACUGUAUGUCUGAAUAUCUGAGAAUGAGUGGAAUCUAUUGGGGUCUGACCGUAAUGGAUCUCAUGGGACAACUACACCGUAUGAAUAGAGAAGAAAUUUUGGCAUUUAUUAAGUCGUGUCAACACGAGUGUGGUGGAAUAAGUGCUAGCAUUGGACAUGAUCCGCAUCUUUUAUAUACUCUUAGUGCUGUCCAGAUCCUUACUCUUUAUGAUAGUAUUAAUGUUAUUGAUGUAAAUAAAGUUGUGGAAUAUGUUCAGAGUCUACAAAAAGAAGAUGGUUCUUUUGCUGGAGAUAUUUGGGGUCCCACUAAGCAGCUGGUCUAACUGGAGUUAAUGGUCUGCUGGAAGUUCCAGCAUGCACUGUGCUAGUUAUAUCAGCAUACAGGAGUACUGGAACAGAGGGGGCCAGUCUAAAAGAUAAGGGCUGAAUACAGUGCAGGCCGGAGAGACCAGCUGCUUCAUGGGAUGUGAAAAUCUACUUUUAUAUAUUAGGGUGAAAUUGAUACAAGAUUCUCUUUUUGUGCGGUGGCAACUUUGGCCCUAUUGGGGAAGCUGGAUGCUAUUAAUGUGGAAAAAGCAAUUGAAUUUGUAUUAUCCUGUAUGAACUUUGACGGUGGAUUUGGUUGCAGGCCAGGUUCUGAAUCCCAUGCUGGGCAGAUCUAUUGUUGCACAGGAUUCCUGGCUAUUACUAGUCAGUUGCAUCAAGUAAAUUCUGAUUUACUUGGUUGGUGGCUUUGUGAACGACAGCUUCCAUCAGGUGGACUCAAUGGAAGGCCAGAGAAGUUACCAGAUGUAUGCUAUUCGUGGUGGGUGUUGGCUUCCCUUAAGAUAAUUGGAAGGCUUCAUUGGAUUGAUAGAGAGAAACUGCGUAGUUUCAUCUUGGCUUGUCAAGAUGAAGAAACCGGAGGAUUUGCGGACAGGCCAGGAGAUAUGGUAGAUCCUUUUCAUACUCUAUUUGGAAUUGCUGGAUUGUCACUUUUGGGAGAAGAGCAGAUUAAACCUGUUAAUCCUGUUUUUUGCAUGCCUGAAGAAGUACUUCGGAGAGUGAAUGUUCAACCUGAACUAGUAAGCUAGAUUAGAUCCUUCGAUGCAAAGGUCACUUGUAGUUUUGCCAUCUUAAUAUUUUGGUAUUUGAAGUGCUUAGCAAACUUAAUGGCUAUGAUGUUAAUAUUUUGUACAUGAAUUGUGUUGAUUUUAAUAAAUUAUAUGAUUAUACAUACUGUAAAUUAAAGACCUUUAUUGUAUCUGCAGCUGUCCAUUUUCUUCUGGAAUGCUUUUAUUCUGCAUAUAUUUUGUUUAUGUUUCAAGAAGUGUUAUGUGUCUCUAAAAGCAAACUUAGUUGGAUUCUUUAGCUGAAGUCUUGUGUUUGUACUCCCUUGUUAUAUAUAACUAUAGUUAAUGUAAAUUGGUCAUUAUCAAUGAGAAUGUUAACUGAACUCCAUAUGAAUUAAAAGAUGAAAAAGAUGCCUGAAA